UUUUAUACCCUUUCUCUCUUUUGCCGUUCUCUCUAGCCUCUGCCUCUCUCAAUUCUCAAAAUCCCUAAACCAUAUCCCAUGGGCAUUCUCUCACUCCUUCAGUGGCAAAAAGUGCCAGCCUCCCACCACCGUCAUAUACCGCCAAAGCCGCUACCAGUGCAGGAUCAGGUACUAAGUUUUUGCCCUUCUGAUUGAUUUGUCAUAGUUCCAGAAAUCCCCCUACAAAAUUCUCUAAGUAGAAACCAAUGGCUGUCUAAGUGGUGGAAACUGAGAGAGGUGGAGUUAUCAACUUGCUUUCAUUACACAACAUUCCUGAUAAUCUUAGCGAAAUUGGUGUGGAGUAUGUUGAGGUAGGGAUUUAGCAUUUUGAUAUCUGGCUUAUUUGGUAAUACAACUACAAGACAAGGAAAGUCAGGCUUACAUCAGUGAAACUUGAUGUUCAAAGCAAUGUGCAACUCACACCAACAUCUAUACCCAAGGAAAACAAAAGGGCAUAUAUAGGGACUGCUACAAAGCAACAAAGGAAGAAGAUGCAAAAAACACUUUAAAGUUGUC